rnacentral:lncRNA from 1 species
UUUUUUUACUAAUUCAAGAAUUAAUUCUUUAUCAGUAUCCAUUCUGCUCUUCAGCACAUCUAUUAAAUUUUCAAAAAUAGGUAGUGAUCAUGGAAACCUAAUUAAUUCUUUUUCGUACCACUUGUUUUUAAUCAAUGGUGUAUGGACCCCUCAUAUCUGAUUACACUUUUCUUAAGGUUAAUUCUCCCUUCCCAUAGAUAUUAGUUCUUUUAUUUGUUGACUUUGUUUCUUUGUUAAUGAUGCUUGUUUUCUUAAAUGUUUGGACAUUCCUAACUACUGUUUGCACUUGAAUUUAAAAUUCCUGUUUGCCUGAGUAUGUAAGUACUGAUUCCAGCUGCCUCUGGUGACUUUGGGAGACAGGAGGGGAGUGAGGGAGAGGGAGGAAGAGGGUAAGAAUUGCAAGCUAGUAGACUGCUCACCUUCUGAGAAGGUGCAUUUCCCCACCCCAGGAAUAUAAGUCAUCUGGAGUCAUUUCUCUCCUGCUCUGGCUCAACUGUCCAUCUGAGUUUCCUGGGUCAGGACUCCUUCUGCUUCGAGACAGCUGUGCUCAGAGUUUAUUCUGGCAGCAAAUACACAAAUCAGGCACCUUCUUUUUUCUUUCUUUUUUCCUUAGAUGUCUGGGGUGACUUCCAGCUCUGUUCUGCCUCUCUGGGUUGUCUCUCCCCUUCUGGAGGUCUUAUCCCGCAUCUAAGCAUCACCCAUGCUCUCUGCUCAGUAGGUGUGGGGAGGGAAAGGGACCUCGUGGGCUCAGCUGUUCCAAAUACUAAGUUUUAUUAAUUAACCUUAUGGUUGCCCCAAAGCCCCUCCUGAUCUCUCUAUUUGUUGAGUCUGAGCUUUAAAUAUUUCUGGAAUUUGUAUUACUUCCACAGUAGUUUUCUAUUGUCUAUGUUGGGGGCUGUGGUAUUUUCCUGCCCUUAUGUUUCUAUAGUCUGAUCCCAUCUGCUUUCUAUCUCCCAGGAAUUUUUCAGAACCUGUAGGGAUAGAUCCCUUUCUUGUUUCACAGGCUGUGGUGGAUUCCUUUACCUCUUCCUCCUUUCAAACACAUAUCUUGAACUUCACAAUGAUUCAAUGACAGACUCAUUAUUACCUCAUUUUUCAGAAGUAAAAUUGAGCUUAGAAAAGCUGACUUCUCUAAGAGGUCACAGCUAGAAAGUGGUAGUGCUGGCACUGGGACUCUAGUUCAUCAAACUACCGGUAGCAGUACAAGUAUCAUCUCCAUUUGUUCAGGACCUUCUUUGUGUCUGCCUCCUGAUUCCAUCCUGCUGUGGCCUGAGAGCCCCUUGACAGCCUUCUUUGUGUCCCCUGUAGCACCUGCACAGUGCAGAUAGCACCACACACCAGGAGCACAGGUCAACAACAGCUUGCCCCAGGUCACAUAACUAUGCAGUGGCAGGUCAGGAUUUGAACCCAGAAAGCCUGGCCCCAGAGACCAGCCCCUAAGACCAUCUUUCACUGAGAUCUGAGGUGUCACUCACCAGCUUCCUCCCAGCAUCCCCGUUCUGAGAGGAAGGCAUAACACUAGGCUAACAGCCAAUUUAUGCCUCAGAAAAACUGCCUUAGGGGGCUUCCACUGCUGUGUUUCAUUAUAAGCAUCAUGACACGAUUUGACUCUUAAAACCAAGACCAAGUAUUACUUUGAUGAAACAAAAGAAAAGAGAAACAAAAAGAAAAGAAUACCAAACGGGAGCUGUCAGAGCCGUCAAUAAACCACACAGACACAACAGAGCCUGUGAACAUGCGAACUAGUAGAGGCCACGUCUGAGUGGGGAAGGGAACGGGGAAUAUGGAUAAAGCAAGACUAGUCUAUGAGGAGGUAAGCAGCUGUGGUUUGUGAUCUGCCAUUAAGAACAGUGUCACUGGGCAGCCCGGGUGGCUCAACGGUUUAGUGCUGCCUUCAGCCCAGAGUGUAGUCCUGGAGACCUGGGAUUGAAUCCCACGUUGGGCUCCCUGCAUGGAGCCUGCUUCUUCCUCUGCCUGGGUCUCUGCCCCUCUCUCUGUGUGUCUCUCAUGAAUAAAUAAAUAAAAUCUUAAAAAAAAAAAAAAAAAAAGAAAAAAGAACAGUGUCACCUUCACAAGUGGAAUUCUGGGGGCUUCAGGGGUUUUUUAUUGGUUUUGUUUUGUUGUGUUUGUCAGAUAAAGGCAUCAGCCCUAUGACGCUAAUAUUGGAAUAUUCUAAAUAAACAGUUAAUUCAUCUCUACCAUAACUAAAAACUGAAUUUAUGAGUGUUUCCAGCCCCUCUUUCAGAUCUCUGAGUGCUUCUCCAAUUCCAUCUUCAUUAUUCUUUGCCUCACACUUUUGCCCUCCAGCCCACAAAAACCCAGGCAUAGCCUUCUUGUGUAAGCAUCAUUGUAGUUUUCAUUCCCAGGUCCCUCACUGCCUCAGACUGCACCACCUCCCUUCUGACUACACACCUGUCAUCCGCACACACAUACCCAAUCUGGGGCCAGGCCAAUUGUAUUUGUUAUUCUUAAAACUCUGUUUAGGUAUAAUUUCCUCUAGGAAGACCUUUUUGGUACCUUUCCACAGGCUGAGUGAGACACCCACCCUUUGUGUUCCUCCCUGCCAUUCAGUGGUAGCCCAUGAUACACAAUCAUGUUAACCUAAUUUAGACCUAACAUCCAGACAACUCAGGAUCAGCUCUAUUUUCACACAUGUGGAAACUAAGACUCAGCAAGACUGAAGAACCCACCCAACACGGCUGAGAAUCAAAGCUGGUGUGUGUACCAAGCUGUUUUUUUUUUGAACAGCCA